UACGGAGGGGGCAAGCGUUGUUCGGAAUUACUGGGCGUAAAGGGCGCGUAGGCGGCCUUCUAAGUCGAACGUGAAAUCCCCCGGGGCUCAACCCCGGAACUGCCUUUGAUACUGGGUGUCUAGAGUAUGGAAGAGGUGAGUGGAAUUCCGAGUGUAGAGGUGAAAUUCGUAGAUAUUCGGAGGAACACCAGUGGCGAAGGCGGCUCACUGGUCCAUUACUGACGCUGAGGUGGCGAAAGCGGUGGGGAGCA
rnacentral:rRNA from 1 species